GAUCGCAAUGACGUCUUGCAAAAUUCAAGCUCAACAGACCGGAAUGCAGGCUUAUCUCUCUUCAGAGAUCUGUUUGCGUGUCGAUAUUCCCGCUGAACUGAGCGAUCUUCUCUUUUCAUUUUUCAAUCCAUCGAUUUUCGAUUCUAUUAGCGUUUUUUAUAAUUAUUAAUUUGUUUAUUUGGUUGAUGUUUGUGGGAAUUGCGACGAGGAUACAAAGCUCCCUCUUCUGAAUUAGACUGAGGAAACUCUGCUGGCAGAAUCGAACCAAUUUUAUAAUCAUGCCAUCUGAGCAGUUUCUUCCCCACAUCCAUCAAUAGUUUUUAUUAUUAAUGUUUUGUUAAUACGUUAGAUAGAUUGCAGUGAUGACCUCAGAAAAAUUCAAGCUCAACAGACCGGAAUGCAGGAUUCUUAACUGAGUUUUGCGUGUCGAUAACCCGCUCACUGAGCAGUC
rnacentral:lncRNA from 1 species